GACGUCUAAGCUAGAGAUUAGUCUUUCCCUUCGGGGACAUGGAUACAGGUGGUGCAUGGUUGUCGUCAGCUCGUGUCGUGAGAUGUUGGGUUAAGUCCCGCAACGAGCGCAACCCUUAUUAUCAGUUGCCAGCAUUCAGUUGGGCACUCUGGUGAGACUGCCGGUGACAAACCGGAGGAAGGUGGGGACGACGUCAAAUCAUCAUGCCCCUUAUGACCUGGGCUACACACGUGCUACAAUGGUCGGUACAACGUGCUGCGAACUCGCGAGGGUAAGCAAAUCACUUAAAACCGAUCUCAGUUCGGAUUGUAGGCUGCAACUCGCCUACAUGAAGCUGGAAUCGCUAGUAAUCGCGGAUCAGCAUGCCGCGGUGAAUACGUUCCCGGGUUGUGAA
rnacentral:rRNA from 2 species